rnacentral:misc_RNA from 1 species
AAGAAGAAGAAGAAGAAGAAAAAAAGAAGAUCAAUUUUAGGGUGAAUGAAAAAGUAAGUUCAUGAGAAUUUAGCCCUGAAGUCUCCUUUCAAGCUAUAUAGCUUGCAAAUAUGCAUUUGAUGUGUUGAGUAUUUAAUGCAGCAAAGGUUUUCAAACUUGUAGUAAGCAAUGAAGCAGUGAAGAUAGAGCCAAGGGUCAGAAGUUCAAGUGGAAUUGAAUUAGAUAUAGUUAUUAAAUAUUUCUAUAUAAACAUAUUGAAAUUAUCAAAUUGUAACUUAUCAUAAUUUAAUAAGUGAGAUUUUACUUGAAUAUAAUCGAUUAGAAUGUAUUAACAUUUUUUUUAUUAUCACUUUGAGUUUAAAUAUAAUAAUAUCUUGUAAUGAACAAAAAAAAAAAAAGUUAGAACCUAGGGUUAAAUAAAAAGAAGCAUAUUAUUAUGUCCAAAAAAUAAAGAAAACUAGAUUGGCUUCCAUCCAUUAAGUGUAUAUCAUUAUUAUUCUAUACAAUAUAAGUUCUCACUAUUUUGUAUUUAAUGUAAUCUGAUUGUAAGAUUUAUAGAGUUUAACUUUAAAAUUUAUAGAGUUUAACUUUCAAAUCUCACUUUCUUAAUAAAGUAUCCAUGUAUUAUAGGUAUUUUGACAAAAGGAGCAAAUAUGUUUUAAUUUAAAUGUGAUACUAUAAAAUUUAAAAUUUAUCCAUGGAUGAAUAAAAAAAAAUUGUUCUGGUGCUUGUAAUUGUUCUAACAUUGUAAACAUAUGAAGGGGGGAUGGAUAUUUUCACCUUUUUCUUUUUUUUUUUUUGGGUAAGUACUCCUGGGUUUCCCUGUCUGACCUGGAAUGCAACUCAUAUGCUGCCUUAAGCAGAAGAGGAAACUAUGUUUUGUUGCUUGGUUAUGAGCAUAGUUGUUGCGCUCUAGGUUUCUGUGUUGAUGCUGUUGUUGGUUUGCUCAUUAUCAAUGCUGUCUUGGUUUACCUCUAUGUUGAUGCUGUUGUUGGUUUGUUUGUUAUCAGUGUUGUUGUGGGUUUUCUUUGAUGAUAAAAUGCGCUUAGUCUUUUUUAGUGUUGCUAUCAAAAAAAGCAGCAGAGGACACUAAGUUAUAAGAGUUGCAAGAUGUGGCAAGCAAUAUUUGAGCUGCCUGCAUUCUACUUUUGAAAAAAAAAAUUUAUUUUUUGUGUGCUCAUUUAUAUUUGAUUGGUUAAGCAGGUUGUGGAAGUACACAAUCAAU